rnacentral:rRNA from 1 species
ACGGAGGAGACGAGCGUUGGUCGGAAUUAUUGGGCGUAAAGGGUUCGUAGGAGGGUUAUUAAGAUUGGUGUGAAAUCCCAAGGCUCAACCUUGGAACUGCAUUGAUUACUGAUGAACUAGAGUUUCGUAGAGGAAAGCGGAAUUCCAGGUGUAGCGGUGGAAUGCGUAGAUAUCUCGCAGAACACCGACAGCGUAGGCAGCUUUCUGGGCGAUAACUGACUCUGAGGAACGAAAGCAUGGGGAGCAAACAG